ACAUCCCGAACAAUCCGCUCUCUU
rnacentral:siRNA from 1 species